GUAAGGAUCAUUAACGUGAAAUACUUAUUCACACUUGAACGUAUAUAAAAGUCCUUGUUGUCUGCCUUUGAGCAGCGAAAGGCGGCAUUAUAGCUUUCAUUAGCUAUAUGCGACGGUACAUCUUUUAAUUAAGUUAGCAACUGUGGUGAGUUGCCCAAGUACCUGGAACCGGAAAUCUGGGGUGCCCGUUUGCUUCGUACGUUUUGCGAAGGUAGAACUGAUAGGACUUUUGAAGAAUAUCGUUUAAAUAUUCCGAAAAUAUCUGACCGGAGUUCUAUGGGCCGUAAGGUAUCUUGCUUUACACCGGCACGAUCGCCCCAACUUUAAGUUUGUUCAAUAAAUAAAAUACUUUCAAGUAAUUGAAUUUUACAUAAAAAAAUUAAUAAAACACUCUGAGCGGUGGAUCACUUGGCUCGCGGAUCGAUGAAGAGCGCAGCAAAGCGCGAUAACUAUUGCGAACUGCAGGAUAUACUGAGCAGCAAUAACUUGAACGCAAAUGGCGGCUUCGGGUAUUCCUGGAGCCACGUUCGCCUGAGGGUCGACAUUAUGAAAAUACAAACUAACAUGAUAUUCGUUUUAUAAUACAUGUUGUCAUUUGGAUUUCGUAUUUUUUAACUAAAAUACACUUCUAAUAUUAAAUUUUCAUCAAUUUAAUUUUGUUAAUGCUUAUCGUUUAUAUAGGUAUUCAAAAUUUAAACAACUUUCAUUCACGACCUCAGACGAGCGGGACUGCCCGCUGAAUUUAAGCAUAUCACUAAGCGGAGAAAAAGAAAAUAACUAUGAUUCCUAAAGUAACGGCGAGUGAAAUAGGAAAAGCCCAUAGCCGAAUCCCGCUGUUCUCGACAGCAGCUGGGAGUUGUGGCGUUUGGAACUGUCUAUUGUAACCGAUCGACCGAACUACGCGACUCCUCUUGAUUGUGGUUUGCCCAUAGCAGGUGAAAGGCCUAUAGCCCGUAGUUUCGAAUUGAAGGUCGGCGGUGAUGGCAGUCCUUAGAGUCGGGUUGUUUGGGAUUGCAGCCCGAAGUAGGUGGUAAACUCCACCCAAGGCUAAAUACGACCGCGAGUCCGAUAGCGAACAAGUACCGUGAGGGACAGUUGAAAAGAACUUUGAAGAGAGAGUUCAAAGUACGUGAAACCGUUCAGAGGUAAACGGGUAGAAAGUCGAAUUAGAGGUUGACAAUCAGGUCGUUGGCCAAGUCGGGGUUGGGCGGUAGCACGUUAAAGGUUGCCGGUUUACUCGUAAGGCUGGCUACGGCUGUAUUUGUUGAUCUUGGAUCGCCGCAACGACAGUGACUGACCAGUGGCGUUGGUUCCUCUGGUUGACGUAGAUUCGUUUGAGUCUUCACGUCAGCACACGGGCUAGCGUCCUGCGUACAUGGCACAGUCGAUUAUUAUAGCGGUUCAUGCGUUCCAUCUAGCUAUCGUUCGCUUUGUAUUGGCACGCCGAUCUUAAAUAAGUUCGGUUGUUAACAUCAGGGUGGCGGUGGUUGGUUUAAAGACGGAACAAGAAUCGCAUUGGCGGCGUUUGACUACGAAUUAUCUACCUGACCCGUCUUGAAACACGGACCAAGGAGUCUAACUUAUGCGCAAGCCAUUGAGAAUUGAAACUCAAAGGCGAAGUGAAAGCAAGCAUGGUGAGAUCUGUCGUUUAUUUGUUGAGAAUAGCGGCAGCGCAUCAUCGUCACGCCUCAAUUCGGCUUCGGCUGAAGAGACGCAGACUGAGCGCACAGGUUGGGACCCGAAAGAUGGUGAACUAUGCGAGGCGAGGUCGAAGCCAGAGGAAACUCUGGUGGAGGACUGUAGCGGUUCUAACGUGCAAAUUGAUCGUCGCAGCUUCGUAUAGGGGCGAAAGACUAAUCGAACCAUCUAGUAGCUGGUUCCCUC
rnacentral:misc_RNA from 1 species